rnacentral:rRNA from 1 species
GAUCUUGGUCAGGAUGAACGCUAGCUACAGGCUUAACACAUGCAAGUCGAGGGGCAGCAUUGGGGUAGCAAUACUCAGAUGGCGACCGGCGCACGGGUGAGUAACACGUAUCCAACCUGCCGCUUACUCGGGGAUAGCCUUUCGAAAGAAAGAUUAAUACCCGAUGGUAUAAAGAGUUCGCAUGUUCUCUUUAUUAAAGAAUUUCGGUAAGCGAUGGGGAUGCGUUCCAUUAGAUAGUUGGCGGGGUAACGGCCCACCAAGUCUACGAUGGAUAGGGGUUCUGAGAGGAAGGUCCCCCACAUUGGAACUGAGACACGGUCCAAACUCCUACGGGAGGCAGCAGUGAGGAAUAUUGGUCAAUGGACGAGAGUCUGAACCAGCCAAAAGUAGCGUGAAGGAUGACUGCCCUAUGGGUUGUAAACUUCUUUUAUAAGGGAAUAAAGUGAGGGACGUGUCCCUUUUUGUAUGUACCUUAUGAAUAAGGAUCGGCUAACUCCGUGCCAGCCGCCGC